AUUGAACGCUGGCGGCAGGCCUAACACAUGCAAGUCGAGCGGAUGAAGGGAGCUUGCUCCUGGAUUCAGCGGCGGACGGGUGAGUAAUGCCUAGGAAUCUGCCUGGUAGUGGGGGAUAACGUCCGGAAACGGGCGCUAAUACCGCAUACGUCAUGAGGGAGAAAGUGGGGGAUCUUCGGACAUCAAGCUAUCAGAUGAGACUAGGUCGGAUUAGCUAGUUGGUGGGGUAAAGGCCUACCAAGGCGACGAUCCGUAACUGGUCUGAGAGGAUGAUCAGUCACACUGGAACUGAGACACGGUCCAGACUCCUACGGGAGGCAGCAGUGGGGAAUCUUCGGCAAUGGGCGAAAGCCUGAUCCAGCCAUGCCGCGUGUGUGAAGAAGGUCUUCGGAUUGUAAAGCUCUUUUAGUUGGGAGGAAGGGCAGUAAGUUAAUACCUUGCUGUUUUGACGUUACCAACAGAAUAAGCCCCGGCUAACUUCGUG
rnacentral:rRNA from 1 species